rnacentral:lncRNA from 1 species
GGCGCGGAGCCUGGCCCUAAGGGCUCCUCCCGGCCUGUGGAGGGCUUGGAGGACCCCCUGGGGCGGCUACUGUCGGCUGCCCAAAACUACUGGCUACUCUGCACGUAAUUCGACUUUCUGGUGAACCUGUCGGUGGGAGCACAGUCCCUUCCAUUCCAGGGGUCACAGAAUAAUCCGCGUCGCUCAUUCUCAGCCGCACUGGGUUUCGACCUACGGUCUCUAAAUUUAGUUCCCAGGUGCAAGAAAUUGCUGUACAGGACCGUGCCCUCCGACCACCUCAGGGAGGACUCUCUUUUGGGAAAAGUAAGCUAAAACCAAUUGUCAAGGAUUCACGAAUUAUCACUUUUUCAUCUCUCUGUAGGAUAAAUCAGUAAACUAGAUUUCGGCUCCUUUCUGAAUUGUCCCUGAAGUUUAAGGUAAAUGCUUCUGACAGAGGUCCCUGAGAGAGCCCUGUGUUUCUGUACCUUUAAUAUUAAGAUUCGGUUCAGGAUGUGUAAACCAGUUCCAGAAUGGAAAAGCUUUAAGUAUAGACAGAUUAACACACGUGACCAUGAGUCUGCUUUAGUAUCAGUUCAAUUUUCUGCAGUGUUCCCUUCUCAGCAAAAAAUUGUAAAGAAUGCCAUAAAAUACAUGCAGAUAAUGUUCAUGAUGAUCUAGAAGAACGUCUCCAAGUUCCAAACUGCUGUAUGGCUCCAUCAGCACAGGGUCUUUAAUGUCUAGGCUAUGCCUUUCACUUUUCUUUUCUAUUACUUUGCUUUAACUGUGGGUUUGUCCUAAUGCAAAUAUCCAAACCUAAGGAUGUAAAAACUGUGAAAUGACAAGAUUAAAGCCAUAGACAAUACAAAUGGAAAACUUGAAGGUGACGCAGAGUUAAAGAGAAGGAGUAGAUUAAUUUUUAAAAGUUGAUUGUUCUGAGAGGUCCAUAAAUUCAUUGAUUUUAUUUUAAAGACUACCUAGAUUCUUGGAAAUUCAAGAUUUAUUGUACCAAUAUAAUAUUGAUUUCUCUAUACACUCUAAUAUAAACUUUUUGAGAACAAGCUCUAUUUCUAAUUUAUUUUUGUUUCUUCAUAAUACCAGUGUUGUGCCAGUACUGUCAAAAAGUAUCAUAUGAUCACCAAAUCUCUCUAUUCUUCUUCCUCAGUACAGAGAUGCAUUACAUUCCCCAUCACACCUGCAGUUAGAUGUAGCCAUUAGGCUUAGCUCAUUAAAAACAAAACAAAACAGAACCAGAAAACCUUCCGCAAGCUAUCUUCCAUGCUCUUUCCCCUUUUCUGGCCAUAUGCUAAAGAUGCAGAACCACAAAUUAGGAGUUUGAGUUUCUGAACUACCCUUGGAGCCAUCUGCCCAAUAGGAAUACCAAUAUAGGACUUUAUGUGAGCAAAGUAAACUGUACAUAUUUUUAGUAGUAUUUAAUCAGACCAAAUUUUUGAAGACCAAGCAUACAAGAAAAAAUAAUGCUGGCAUUCAGUAAAAGAUGAGAAAUAUUGUUUAAACAAAAACAAACAGUAAUCAUUUUUGCUGCAAUCACAAUAAUGGCAUGAGUAGCCAAAGAAAACCCAUCUCCAAAGUUAAUCAAGUCUACUUUCUGGCGUUUUGUAUGGUGGGUCCUGUAAGCUGAUUUGAUAUUCCUCUUUCACCAGUGUACUUGUUUUCCUCUUGUUUAUUAAGGACAUAAAUGAAUAAAGUAUGUCUUUAAACUCAGGGUGUCUGCUCAUUAUCUUAUACAAAAAGUAUCAAUACAUUAGACAAUGCAGACAGAGGGAGAUUAUGGUAGAAUUUGGGAAAAAAAUAGAAGAGUUAAUUUUUACUAAAUAAGAGAUUAUUAACUAAGACUUUCCAAAAAAUUAGAAUGUAGUUGCAAAACAGUUAUAAAUCUAGAACCAUAAGUUAGAAGUAAUAGAAUUUUCCAUCCAUUAAUUUUAAACCAUCCAAUGCUAAUUUUUACAGAAUAAUGAAAAUGAGCCAGAUGCAGUGUACAACUGUAAUCUUAAUGGCUCAAGAAGCUGAGGCAGGAGGAUCACAAGUUCAAAGCCAGCCUCAGCAAGUUAGCAAGGCCCUAUGCAACUUAUUGAGACCCUGUCUCAAAUAAAAAGGGCUGGGGAUGUAGUUCGGUGGUUAAGCGCCUCUGGGUUCAAUCCCCAGUACUAAAAUAAUAAUAAUAAAAAAACUAAAUUAAAAGUAUAUGCUCUUAAAUCUCUGUAGAAUUUUUAAAUAUGAUG